GGAGGAGUAGUCAAGCCUGGCCAAAGAAAACUAAUUUAGUCUUAGGGGUUCGUGGGUUCAAAUCCCACCUCCUCCA
rnacentral:tRNA from 1 species